GUUUCCGAGGAGCGUUGCGACGGGCCCCGCCCGCCAGGCUCGGAAAUGGUCAACCGAGCGGUGUGUCU
rnacentral:ncRNA from 2 species